UAACGGGGCUAAGCUAUAUACCGAAGCUGCGGAUGCGAGCUAUGCUCGCAUGGUAGGAGAGCGUUCCGUAAGCCUGCGAAGGUGCGUUGAAAAGCGUGCUGGAGGUAUCGGAAGUGCGAAUGCUGACAUGAGUAGCGAUAAAGGGGGUGAAAGGCCCCCUCGCCGUAAGCCCAAGGUUUCCUACGCAACGUUCAUCGGCGUAGGGUGAGUCGGCCCCUAAGGCGAGGCAGAAAUGCGUAGCUGAUGGGAAGCAGGUCAAUAUUCCUGCACCAUUGUUAGAUGCGAUGGGGGGACGGAUCGCGGAAGGUUGUCCGGGUGUUGGAAGUCCCGGUCGCUGCAUUGGAGAAGGCACUUAGGCAAAUCCGGGUGCGUAAUUCAAGGGUGUGGCGCGAGCUCCUUAGGGAGCGAAGCAAUUGGAAGUGGUUCCAAGAAAAGCCUCUAAGCUUCAGUCUAACGAUGACCGUACCGCAAACCGACACAGGUGGGCGAGAUGAGUAUUCUAAGGCGCUUGAGAGAACUCGGGAGAAGGAACUCGGCAAAUUGGUACCGUAACUUCGGGAUAAGGUACGCCCUUGUAGCUUGAUGCGCCUGCGCGCAGAGGGUGAAGGGGUUGCAAUAAACUGGUGGCUGCGACUGUUUAAUAAAAACACAGCACUCUGCAAACACGAAAGUGGACGUAUAGGGUGUGACGCCUGCCCGGUGCCGGAAGAUUAAAUGAUGGGGUGCAAGCUCUUGAUUGAAGUCCCGGUAAACGGCGGCCGUAACUAUAACGGUCCUAAGGUAGCGAAAUUCCUUGUCGGGUAAGUUCCGACCUGCACGAAUGGCGUAACGAUGGCCACACUGUCUCCUCCCGAGACUCAGCGAAGUUGAAGUGUUUGUGAUGAUGCAAUCUACCCGCGGCUAGACGGAAAGACCCCAUGAACCUUUACUGUAGCUUUGCAUUGGACUUUGAACCGAUCUGUGUAGGAUAGGUGGGAGGCUAUGAAACCGGAACGCUAGUUUCGGUGGAGCCGUCCUUGAAAUACCACCCUGGUUUGUUUGAGGUUCUAACCUUGGCCCGUGAUCCGGGUCGGGGACAGUGCAUGGUAGGCAGUUUGACUGGGGCGGUCUCCUCCCAAAGCGUAACGGAGGAGUACGAAGGUACGCUAGGUACGGUCGGAAAUCGUGCUGAUAGUGCAAUGGCAUAAGCGUGCUUAACUGCGAGACCGACAAGUCGAGCAGGUGCGAAAGCAGGUCAUAGUGAUCCGGUGGUUCUGUAUGGAAGGGCCAUCGCUCAACGGAUAAAAGGUACUCUGGGGAUAACAGGCUGAUACCGCCCAAGAGUUCAUAUCGACGGCGGUGUUUGGCACCUCGAUGUCGGCUCAUCUCAUCCUGGGGCUGUAGCCGGUCCCAAGGGUAUGGCUGUUCGCCAUUUAAAGAGGUACGUGAGCUGGGUUUAAAACGUCGUGAGACAGUUUGGUCCCUAUCUGCCGUGGGCGUUGGAUAUUUGAAGGGGGCUGCUCCUAGUACGAGAGGACCGGAGUGGACGAACCUCUGGUGUACCGGUUGUCACGCCAGUGGCAUCGCCGGGUAGCUAUGUUCGGAAGAGAUAACCGCUGAAAGCAUCUAAGCGGGAAACUCGCCUUAAGAUGAGAUAUCCCUGGGGACUAGAUCCCCUUGAAGGGUCGUUCGAGACCAGGACGUUGAUAGGUCAGGUGUGUAAGCGCAGUAAUGCGUUCAGCUAACUGAUACUAAUUGCCCGUAAGGCUUGAUCC
rnacentral:rRNA from 1 species